UACAGAGGGUGCUAGCGUUGUUCGGAAUCAUUGGGCGUAAAGGGCGUGUAGGCGGUUUGUUAAGUCAUGUGUGAAAUCCCCCGGCUCAACCGAGGAAAGACGCAUGAAACUGGCAAGCUAGAGUACCGAAGAGGGGGGUGGAAUUCCCGGUGUAGCGGUGAAAUGCGUAGAUAUCAGGAGGAACACCGGUGGCGAAGGCGGGUCUCUGGGCCGAUACUGACGCUGAGGAGCGAAAGCGUGGGGAGCGAACUGG
rnacentral:rRNA from 1 species